rnacentral:rRNA from 1 species
AACGAACGCUGGCGGCAGGCUUAACACAUGCAAGUCGAGCGCCCCGCAAGGGGAGCGGCAGACGGGUGAGUAACGCGUGGGAAUCUACCCAUCUCUACGGAAUAACGCAUGGAAACGUGUGCUAAUACCGUAUACGUCCUUCGGGGGAAAGAUUUAUCGCCAUUGGAUCAACCCGCGUCUGAUUAGCUAGUUGGUGAGGUAAAGGCUCACCAAGGCGACGAUCAGUAGCUGGUCUGAGAGGAUGAUCAGCCACACUGGGACUGAGACACGGCCCAGACUCCUACGGGAGGCAGCAGUGGGGAAUAUUGGACAAUGGGCGCAAGCCUGAUCCAGCCAUGCCGCGUGAGUGAUGAAGGCUCUCGGGUUGUAAACCCCUUUCAGCAGGGACGAAUCUGACGGUACCUGCAGAGGAAGGACCGGCCAACUACGUGCCAGCCGCCGCGGUAAUAC